ensembl:lncRNA
GGGAAGCAUUGGGGCCAUUGGCUCCAUGGGGCCGUGCGUCCUCUGGCCCCUUCCGUGUGACCCCCCCAGGAAAGCAAAGAGGGGUGAGUUGGGGUGAUGCAGAGGGCAAUGCUGAGGUCUUUGUAAUGGAACCUGGGAGGUGCUGCAAGAUGGGACGCAGGGGUGAUGCCUUUAGGGCUUACAUGGAUGGAUUUGGGUACGAGGCUCCUCCAUUGCUGCCCUACAUGCUCAUGUCUUGCUGACACACUUGGCCUCAGCUGCACCCAAGGGCACCCACCGGCCGCACCGGCUCUUUUCUUUAUUUAACCCUCCCCGAGUGCAGGAUCGAGGAGCCACUUCCACAUUUCCCCCCACAAUGGCCACGGCCAAAAAGCCCUGGAGCCGUUUUUGAUCCCGCUGCCCGGCCACCUCGCUGCAGAUGCUCAAACCACAGCGCCUUCGCCCAGAUGGACACGGCUAAAAAUACCGUGUGGCUACCGAGGGUCCUGCAGCUGGGACUGAGGGGCUCUGGCCUUCCAGAGGUCAGGCGGUUUAAGAAUCUUGGCAGGAUGAAAAAAGCAGGAUUCAUCCCCCUAAUUGCUUUAUCUCUCUGGCCACCACGUCAUCCUGCUUCGGCCAAGGUCAGUAAUUUUCCUAAAUCAUCAUAUCCCAGAACGCCACAAGUCAGAGCCCGGAGGACACAUGGAACUCAUGUCAAAAGGCACAGCCUUUGCACGAACACCCAUCGCCUCCUCGGCUUUGUCUCUCCACUUGAGAGUCUGUUCAGUUCUUGUUUUGCAGAAAAAGGAAGAAUGAUUCUGAUGUAACAACAGGACUCCGGGAGCUGGAGAUUUAUGGUGGAAAAAAAAAAGCAAAUAGCAAGCAGCUCUUGAUCAAGUGGUGAGAAAGCAUCUGCAGCGAGCUGUCAUUGCUUUGCCUCUUGAGUAUGGCUGAUUGCAUGGGGUCGUACCCACCUGGGGCAAGGAGCUGCCCUAAGCAUCCAUCAGCUAGAUGCGCUGCUCUUAAUUAACCCUGAUUAAUUACCAGGUGAGAACACGUCCUCCCCUGUGCACUGAGAGCAGCACAACCAACCUGCAGUUAAACAUUGACAAGUUGCCUCCACGGUGGAUUUCCAGGAAUCUGUUGAGCUAAGGUCAUCCUUUCGGAUGUGCUAUGAGGCUGAUUUAAAUACAUACUGGGAAAGGUUCUUUUUCAGCCUUUUGUUGCCAUUAAUGGGUCAGCACAACAUAUUCCUGUUGUGCACUGGUGGGCUGGUAGCUCCAGCUGGAGGGCCAUGUGGCACUGAGUGUGCCAUGUGAAGUGCUGCCCUGGGGGAUUGCCUUCCCAUUGAUUCCUCUCCUUUAAUUGCUCCUUGAGCUCGCACUGCGAGCCAUGGAAACAGCUCUUAAUCCAUCUCCUUAAUACCUGUGCUUUAUUCCUUCCCAUUAGUAAUUGGAUCAUCAGCUCUUUGAAAGUAGAAGUGGCACAAGUGCUUUGCUUUCAUCUCUCUCACAGGUAAGCAUGAAAGUCUCGGUCAAGAAUACUGCACAUCCCCUAUGCUUUCCCACCUCUGUCUCAGCAGAGCAUUUUUCUGUUCAUUUGUGGAGUUUCAGCCUGGGAGAUUUUCCCCAUGGUACUAAUUUUUUUCUUCUUGCAACCGAAGUGCAUUUGAGAAUUCAUUUCUGAAACUUCCCUGCUGCUAAUUUUACACCAGGGGAUCAUCAGAAAGAACGCGAGAGAAAUGAAAUCUGUUAUUUUGGUGGCUGCAUCACCCUACAAGGGCUGAUAGGCAAAGGGAAACCCAGGGACCGCUCCUCUGCUCACCAA